rnacentral:rRNA from 1 species
UGGGGAAUCUUGCGCAAUGCGCGAAAGCGUGACGCAGCAACGCCGCGUGGGGGAAGAAGGCCUUCGGGUUGUAAACCCCUUUCAGGAGGGACGAAGCCUGGUCGGUGAAUAGCCGGUCCAGGUGACGGUACCUCCACAAGAAGCCCCGGCCAACGUCGUG